AACGAACGCUGGCGGCAUGCCUAACACAUGCAAGUCGAACGAGACCUUCGGGUCUAGUGGCGCACGGGUGCGUAACGCGUGGGAACCUGCCCUUAGGUUCGGAAUAACUCCCCGAAAGGGGUGCUAAUACCGGAUAAUGUCUUCGGACCAAAGAUUUAUCGCCUUGGGAUGGGCCCGCGUUGGAUUAGCUAGUUGGUAGGGUAAAAGCCUACCAAGGCGACGAUCCAUAGCUGGUCUGAGCGGAUGAUCAGCCACACUGGGACUGAGACACGGCCCAGACUCCUACGGGAGGCAGCAGUGGGGAAUAUUGGACAAUGGGCGAAAGACUGAUCCAGCAAUGCCGCGUGAGUGAUGAAGGCCUUAGGGUUGUAAAGCUCUUUUACCCGGGAUGAUAAUGACAGUACCGGGAGAAUAAGCGCCGGCUAACUCCGUG
rnacentral:rRNA from 1 species